UCAGGACUGAACGCUAGCGACAGGCCUAACACAUGCAAGUCAGGGGCAGCACAGGAGCAAUCUGAGUGGCGACCGGCGCACGGGUGAGUAACACGUAUGCAACCUGCCUGUAAGCGGGGAAUAACCCGUUGAAAGACGGACUAAUACCGCAUAAUACUAAAUUACUGCAUGGUAAUUUAUUUAAACAUUUAUGGCUUACAGAUGGGCAUGCGCAUGAUUAGCUAGUUGGAGAGGUAACGGCUCCCCAAGGCAACGAUCAUUAGGGGUCUGAGAGGAAGGUCCCCCCACACUGGUACUGAGACACGGACCAGACUCCUACGGGAGGCAGCAGUGAGGAAUAUUGGUCAAUGGACGAGAGUCUGAACCAGCCAAGUCGCGUGCAGGAAGAAUUGUCCUAUGGAUUGUAAACUGCUUUUGCAGGGGAAUAAAGUGCAUCACGUGUGAUGUUUUGUAUGUACUCUGCGAAUAAGGAUCGGCUAACUCCGUGCCAGCCGCCGC
rnacentral:rRNA from 1 species